rnacentral:rRNA from 1 species
GCUCAUAAAUCAGUAUCGUUAUUGAUAGUACCCUACUACUUGGAUAACCGUGGUAAAUCUAGAGCUAAUACAUGCUGAAAACCCCAACUUCGGGAGGGGUGUAUAUAUUAGAUAAAAAAACCAACGCCCUUCGGGGCUUCUUGGUGAUUCAUGAUAUCUUUACGGAUCGCAUGGCCUUGCGCCGGCGACGGUUCAUUCAAAUUUCUGCCCUAUCAACUUUCGAUGGUAAGGUAUUGGCUUACCAUGGUUUCAACGGGUAACGGGGAAUUAGGGUUCGAUUCCGGAGAGGGAGCCUGAGAAACGGCUACCACAUCCAAGGAAGGCAGCAGGCGCGCAAAUUACCCAAUCCCGACACGGGGAGGUAGUGACAAUAAAUACUGAUACAGGGCUCUUUUGGGUCUUGUAAUUGGAAUGAGUACAAUUUAAACCUCUUAACGAGGAACAAUUGGAGGGCAAGUCUGGUGCCAGCAGCCGCGGUAAUUCCAGCUCCAAUAGCGUAUAUUAAAGUUGUUGCAGUUAAAAAGCUCGUAGUUGAACCUUGGGUCUGGCUGGCAGGUCCGCCUCACCGCGUGUACUUGUCCGGCCGGGCCUUCCUUCUGGAGAACCUCAUGCCCUUCACUGGGCGUGUUGGGGACCAGGACUUUUACUUUGAAAAAAUUAGAGUGUUCAAAGCAGGCCUUUGCUCGAAUACGUUAGCAUGGAAUAAUAGAAUAGGACGUGCGGUCCUAUUUUGUUGGUUUCUAGGACCGCCGUAAUGAUUAAUAGGGACAGUCGGGGGCAUCAGUAUUCAAUUGUCAGAGGUGAAAUUCUUGGAUUUAUUGAAGACUAACUACUGCGAAAGCAUUUGCCAAGGAUGUUUUCAUUAAUCAGUGAACGAAAGUUAGGGGAUCGAAGACGAUCAGAUACCGUCGUAGUCUUAACCGUAAACUAUGCCGACUAGGGAUCGGGCGAUGUUCUUUUUCUGACUCGCUCGGCACCUUACGAGAAAUCAAAGUUUGGUC